rnacentral:rRNA from 1 species
AAUCAACGCUGGCGGCGUGCCUAACACAUGCAAGUCGAACGCGAAAGCCCCUUCGGGGGCAAGUAGAGUGGCGUCCGGGUGAGUAACACGUGGGUAAUCUACCUCCGGGUGGGGAAUAACUCGCCGAAAGGCGGGCUAAUACCGCAUAAUGCAGCGGCACCGAAUGGUGAUUAGUUGUUAAAGCGGGGGGCCUUAGGGCCUCGCGUCUGGAGAGGAGCCUGCGGCAGAUUAGCUUGUUGGUAGGGAAUGGCCUACCAAGGCUGCGAUCUGUAGCUGGUCUGAGAGGACGGCCAGCCACACUGGCACUGACACACGGGCCAGACUCCUACGGGAGGCAGCAGUGGGGAAUUUUGGGCAAUGGGCGAAAGCCUGACCCAGCAACGCCGCGUGAAGGAGGAAAUCCUUCGGGAUGUAAACUUCACAAGCAAGGGAAGAGCGCGCAGGGUCGAAUAAACUCUGCGUCCGACGGUACCUUGCGUAAGCCACGGCUAACUACGU